rnacentral:lncRNA from 1 species
CCACAUCCUCUUCAGGCCCUUUGGGUGCCGCCGGUUUCUAGGAGGAAGGAGAGGAGGGCCAUGGGGGAGAGGGAGGAAGAGGAAGCUAGGGGAAGAAGGAAGAAGGGGAGAGGGAAGAAGAGAAGGAAAUGGGGAGAAGGAAGAGGAGGAGCUGCCCGUGGGAGAAGAAGGAGCCACCCGAGGGGCUCGCCGCCGGAGCGCCGCCCAAGCUUGUCGUCCGCCACCGGAGCUCGCCCUCACCGUCGUCUUCAUCGAGCCAUCCCUGUGAGCCACCCCGUCGCCCCUUUUCUUUCUUGUAGUAGCUAGCCUAGGCCAUAGCAUGGUUAGGACGUUG